GGAUAACAGAAGGAAACUCCUGCUAAUACCGCAUAGCCAUGAGCACCGCAUGGAGCUCAUGCCAAAUAUCCUUUAUGGGAUAGCGCAGGGAUGGACCUAUGGCGCAUUAGCUUGUUGGCGGGGCAACGGCCCACCAAGGCAACGAUGCGUAGCCGGCCUGAGAGGGCGGACGGCCACAUUGGGACUGAGACACGGCCCAGACUCCUACGGGAGGCAGCAGUAGGGAAUUUUCGGCAAUGGGGGAAACCCUGACCGAGCAACGCCGCGUGAGCGAAGAAGGCCUUCGGGUCGUAAAGCUCUGUUGUAAAGGAAGAACGGCGCAUACAGGAAAUGGUAUGCGAGUGACGGUACUUUACCAGAAAGCCACGGCUAACUACGUGCCAGCAGCCGCGGUAAUACGUAGGUGGCGAGCGUUAUCCGGAAUCAUUGGGCGUAAAGAGGGAGCAGGCGGCCGCAAGGGUCUGUGGUGAAAGACCGAAGCUAAACUUCGGUAAGCCAUGGAAACCGGGCGGCUAGAGUGCGGAAGAGGAUCGUGGAAUUCCAUGUGUAGCGGUGAAAUGCGUAGAUAUAUGGAGGAACACCAGUGGCGAAGGCGACGGUCUGGGCCGCAACUGACGCUCAUUCCCGAAAGCGUGGGGAGCAAAUAGGAUUAGAUACCCUAGUAGUCCACGCCGUAAACGAUGGUCACUAAGUGUCGGGGGUCAAACCCCGGUGCUGCAG
rnacentral:rRNA from 1 species